UUCGGGGCGGCGCAGGCGCAGGAGGAGGGACCUGGGGCGCGCUGUGCACGUCCAUAACCAUCGUCGAGGAAGGAGAGCCACGUGUGACAAUAUGGACAGAUCUGACAAACAUGGUGUUAAAUGAGCGACACAUUGCGGAAGGAUGGGUGGAGAUGAAGACCUAAUAAGAUGCGUUAACCUAAUGCUACAUAAAGAAUUACCCCAAAACUCAGUGUCUUAAAACAGUGAACAUUAUCUUCUCACAGCUUUGUGGGCCAGGACUUGGAAGCGGCUGAGCUGGGUGCUUGGCUCACGGCCUCUUGAGGCGACGGUUGGGGUAUUGGCCAGGGUCGCAGUCACACAGUCAUCUGAAGGCUUCACCGGCCUGGCGGUCCUCUUCCACAGGGGCUCGCUCGCGUGCCUCACGAGUUGGUGUUGGCUGCUGGCAGGGGGCCCCCGUCCUCUCCCAAUGAGCCUUUCCACCAGCCGCUUGAAUGUCCUCUUGACAUGGAGGCUGGCUUCCCCUGAGAGAGAGAUCAAGAGAGACCAAGACUGAAGCCACAACAUUUUUCAUGACCCAGCCUCAAAAGUCACUCUCCAUCAUUUCUGCAACGUCCUGUUGGUUACACAGGUCAACUCUAUUCAACAUGGAUGGGAACUACAAAAAGGCUUGAAUACCCAAAGGCCAGACUCACUGAGGGCCAUCUCGGAGGUCGGCUGCCGCUUGAGAGAAUGUCAGAUCCCACAGGUUCUUCAUCAUCCGGUCCAGCUUGCCCUGAGGUGCCCGCCCGUGUCAUCUCAGCUCUGCUGAGCCCUCCGUCCUCGGGCCCCUCAUCCGGCGCCGAGGCGUACAGUGUCUCCUGUGCUUAACGCCAAGAGGGACGGCCGUUUGUAAGUCCUUUCAUAGCCUCCGCUACACCAAAGGCAUGGCUGAAAGCACACAUGGGGCCCAGAAGUUCUCGUCGAAUAACAAAAUAGUGACUUUUGUCUCUUCAGAUGUCACAUGAGAGUUUCAGGAUUCCAUACUUUCCCAGGAGUUUUCCUUGUUAUCUUACUAAUGUUUUCACCGUUAUCAAAAUUGCUUCAGUUGUUUGUAACUUUAAAGUCCCAUCAGGACCUGCGUUCCAAGACUUUAAACUACUGAAGCUUAACGUUGUAUUUAAUGAGGAGCAAAACCAAGUUAAUUCCCAUUCACAGAUGACAAGUGAACAGUUGGCAGCAAUUUCAACAUCUGCUUUUAAUUCAUUUAAGUGUGAUCAAAUGGUGAUUAAAAAAAGUGCUGGAAACUCUAA